rnacentral:rRNA from 1 species
AUUGAACGCUGGCGGCAGGCUUAACACAUGCAAGUCGAGCGGAGAUGAGGUGCUUGCACCUUAUCUUAGCGGCGGACGGGUGAGUAAUGCUUAGGAAUCUGCCUAUUAGUGGGGGACAACAUUCCGAAAGGAAUGCUAAUACCGCAUACGUCCUACGGGAGAAUGCAGGGGAUCUUCGGACCUUGCGCUAAUAGAUGAGCCUAAGUCGGAUUAGCUAGUUGGUGGGGUAAAGGCCUACCAAGGCGAGGAUCUGUAGCGGGUCUGAGAGGAUGAUCCGCCACACUGGGACUGAGACACGGCCCAGACUCCUACGGGAGGCAGCAGUGGGGAAUAUUGGACAAUGGGGGGAACCCUGAUCCAGCCAUGCCGCGUGUGUGAAGAAGGCCUUAUGGUUGUAAAGCACUUUAAGCGAGGAGGAGGCUACUGAGACUAAUACUCUUGGAUAGUGGACGUUACUCGCAGAAUAAGCACCGGCUAACUCUGUGCCAGCAGCCGCGGUAACAC